GGUAUGGAGCCUGCCCUCAGUUUUCUCUGAUCUCCUGAAGGAUUCCUCUAAAUCUUCAGUAUCUGUUGUGAGCAGUAAAUCAACAGCAGAGCUCCCGAUGCCUUUACUGGGGAACAGGAUCAGCAUUUUUCCCUGUAAAGAGCCAGUGUUCUCCAGCCGUGUCGACACCUGGAAUUUUUGGCUGAGGAUCCUCACCACUGUGAGCCUACACAGCACUGCACUGUUGCAGGAACCUUCAUCCCAUAGGCUACUCAAGGCAGUUCCAGUUCCAGAGUUUGAAAUACUACUUGAUUUUUCCUUGUGAGGGCAGACCAUUACUAAC
rnacentral:lncRNA from 1 species